AGAGUUAAUCCCAAGCAGUGCAGACUCUCAAGCAUCAGUGUUGCCUUUUUCUUCUUGUGCCCACAAGGAAAUUCGGAAUUGUGUUCGCCUCAAUUUCUGUACCCAUCUUUGCAGCUCUGUAUUGUCCAACAAAACUUUGAUCAAUGGCGGGAUCAGGUAGAAUAAACCAAAAUAGGACAGUUCCAGACAUUCGUCCCUUUCCU